rnacentral:rRNA from 1 species
CCCCUAGAUGUUCUGGGCCGCACGCGCGCUACACUGAACAGUUCAACAAGUCUUAACCUUGGCCGAUAGGUCUGGGUAAUCUUUGAACGCUGUUCGUGAUUGGGAUAGACCUUUGCAAUUAUGGGUCUUCAACGAGGAAUUCCUAGUAAACGCAAGUCAUCAGCUUGCAUUGAUUACGUCCCUGCCCUUUGUACACACCGCCCGUCGCUCCUACCGAUUUCGAGUGGUUCGGUGAACCUUUCGGACCGGCAAUGCCUCGUGUUGCGCCGGAAAGUCAAGUAAACCAUAUCACUUAGAGGAAGGAGAAGUCGUAACA